rnacentral:rRNA from 1 species
AUUGAACGCUGGCGGCAGGCCUAACACAUGCAAGUCGAGCGAGCGGCGGACGGGUGAGGAAGGUCUGGGAAACUGCCUGUUGGAGGGGGAUAACUACUGGAAAAGGUAGCUAAUACCGCAUACCAUCAGAUGUGCCCAGAUGGGAUUAGCUAGUAGGUGGGGUAAUGGCUCACCUAGGCGACGAUCCCUAGCUGGUCUGAGAGGAUGACCAGCCACACGGGAACUGAGACACGGUCCAGACUCCUACGGGAGGCAGCAGUGGGGAAUAUUGCACAAUGGGCGCAAGCCUGAUGCAGCCAUGCCGCGUGUGUGAAGAAGGCCUUCGGGUUGUAAAGCACUUUCGUCGGGGAGGCGUUACCCGCAGAAGAAGCACCGGCUAACUCCGUGCCAGCAGCCGCGGUAAUUC